UUUUUUUUAGACUAGCCAUGCACGUCUAAGUACAAACUAAAUGAUGGUGAAACUGCAAAUGGCUCAUUACAACGGUUAUGAUGUACCCGGGAGUUCCGAUGGAUAUUUCCAGUAACACUAGAACUAAUACAUGUCCCUGCGUUUAUUAGUUUCGCACAGUCCGUCGCUGAGUCAUGGUAAACAGUUGAUCGACUCGACGUCCCGGAACAGUUUCCGCCCCAUCAGCUUCGAUGGUUGGGUAUUGGCCUACCAUUGCAACAACGGGUAACGAGGAAUUAGGGUUUGAUUUCGGAGAGGGAGCCUGAGAAACGGCUACCACAUCUACGGAUGGCAGCAGGCGCGCAAAUUACCCAAUGCAGACACUGUGAGGUAGUGACGAGAAAUAAUAAAGCGGGACUUCUGUUUCGCUAUUAUAAUGAGGAAUAACCAAAGGUCAUUCCGAUUAGCAACUGAUGGGAAAGUCUGGUGCCAGCAGCCGCGGUAAUACCAGCGUCAGUAGC
rnacentral:rRNA from 1 species